AUGACAGGUGAGUGAUAGACGGGAAUAGGAGUAGUUAACUUUUAAGCCCACGUUCCCCUAGCUGCGGUUUGGAUCAGGUUUGUGGUUUGACCAGGGUGCAGGGUUAUUACCCAGUGAACUUUAUCCGACUGGCUGCCCAGUCCGUCGAUAUCCAACAUUGCUCCAUGGGGCAAUUGUCCACAGGGUUACCAAUAACGAUUGGCCCAAGUGACGGCUAAUUGCCCAUGACUUCACAGCGGAUGAGCAGAAAGCCCAGAUUGAUGACUAAAAGCCAUUUCACAUCCAUUCUUUUUCCUUUGAUGGACGAGCACAUCAUCUUUGCCACUGGUGGAUCAAUUAGCGUUUGAUAUAGAUGUGUGUAAUGAUUGCUCUUUAAGACUGUAAUUAAUUAUUACUUAACCUUUAUACAAUUAUUUGAAGGAAGAUUAAAAACCAUGCAAAACGAAA